rnacentral:rRNA from 1 species
GAUCAUGGCUCAGGAUGAACGCUAGCUACAGGCUUAACACAUGCAAGUCGAGGGGCAGCAUUGUCUUAGCUUGCUAAGGCCGAUGGCGACCGGCGCACGGGUGAGUAACACGUAUCCAACCUGCCGUCUACUCUUGGACAGCCUUCUGAAAGGAAGAUUAAUACAAGAUGGCAUCAUUAGUCCACAUGUUCACAUGAUUAAAGGUAUUCCGGUAGACGAUGGGG